CAUCUGAAAAAACCACUAUAUAUGUGUGUGAAUAUAUAUACAUAUAUAUAUAUACACACACAUAUAUAUAAACUGUAUUAAGCAGGACUACUGGGGAUAAGACAUUUUAAACUUAAGAUAUUUGACCCACCUGGAUGAUAUUUAUUGUUCCUGGUUUUUUGAGGUUUCUGGGGUGUGAAUAUUCGCUAAUCCUCUUUCAUCAUUGUACUGAGAUGAUAAUAUAACCUCAGGGUUUGGCAUUCUUUGUGUACUUUUGUUCAUGAGAUUUGCCUCUCAGACCUUAUCAUUAAAUACCAUGUAGCAUGUUAUCUACAGUCCUUUUUGUUUCAGUUAAAUAUUUCCACAGUGGAAUGACUUCAUUUCACUCUUCAGACUACCCAGCACCAGCUAUGGAAUAAUACUUUCCUUCCCUCACAAUGAUUAUUUUCCAAGGCAAUACCACUUGGAUCCCAGCAUUUCAUUUUCUUUGCCAUUCCCAACUUGAUCUCUAAGGAUUUUGAUUAUUCUCUUCCUCACGUAUGAAGAAGCAGAGAUGCUGUGACUAGCAAGUGGGAAAGCCAGGCUUCGUGCUUGGAACCACAAGUUCCAAGGACACAGUUGAUGCUUCCUGGCCCCAAGCAGCACCUCAAUCUGUAUUUGCACGUGUGUGGACUUGGCUGUUUAUGUUUGUGGCAUUGAUCUGUCAAGCAAUGACCCUUUCCCCAGUCUCUACAUUCUGUCUCACUCCAUUAGUUUAUUAAGCAUGAGCACUCUCUGAGCUGUGCUUUGAAAAUGAACUCUUAACACUCCUGGGCCUUGCUUCGGGUUCCUCUGUCUGUUCAAACAGAACAGCUGGAAGAUGGUUCAAUGUUUAUUUGCUUUUUCGAUUUAGGUUGUUUCUCUUUUCCUGAGAUCUCAAGGGCACUGUUCAAAAACCUUCUUAAGCAGCAGCCUGGAGGAACAUAAGAGCUGUGGGGGAGGGAGGGGAGAGCUAAGGAAUGAAGGGUUCGUUGAGGUAGAAGGGAGUGGGGAAGCAAGGCUGGUGAUUUUCUGGGGCUGGCUAUGGAUCUGAGCACUGGAUAUUUCUCCUAGUCGGCCCACUCCUCCCUGCUACUACUCAUCCUCCUAUCCACAGGGCUGUGCACAGAGAAAGUUAUGGGAAAAAAGCAUCAAAGUGGGCUUUGCAGUUAGUUACACAGGGCUUUGAAUCCAUCACUUUUAAUCUAUUGACCUUUGGAAAGUUACUUAAAUGCUCUUAUAUCUUAAGAGGUGCAGUGUAUCAUCUGGUCUUUGUUUUUGGUGGAUUCAUGUUGUAUGGACUUUUUAAAAAACCUAUUAGAUGAGGAAGUUAUCCUGAACUUGCAGACUCCCCUGACCUUAAUUAGUUGGCCUCUAUGAUUUAUGCCGUGGAGGCCCAGCCUUUUAAAGGCAAAAAAAGGGACAUCUGGUCAUCUUACCCCAAUCACAGUCAUUAAUCCCAUCAAGAGCACCUGCCUUAACACUGGCCUCCUUGUGUCGUCAUUAGGGUCAAAUGAGGAACAAGGUGAUUCAGGUAUUAUUACUAGCAUCUCCAUGUUACAGACAUGUGGUCUGAGGCACAGAAAUAUUAACUUGCCUAUCUCACAGCUAGUAAUUAAUAUAACUAGGAUUUGAACCCAGGCCACAAAAGACUCAAGGUUAUAGUGUCAGUUGAGGCACACGGGAUCUUUUAGUUCAGCACGUGAAAUCUUCGGUUGCGGCGCGUGAACCUUCAGUGGUGACAUGUGGGUUCUAGUUGCCUGACCAGGGAUCAGAUGCAGCCUGCUUGCCUUGGGAGCCUGGAGUAUUAGCCACUGGACCACAGAGAAGUCUCAAGCUUAUGUUUCUUCAUCUGUGAAAUAGGGAAAAAAUGACAUCUGUCUCAGAAGGUUUUGUUACUUGCUUUGAGCGAUUCCUGUCACAUAAGAAGUUUGAUUUCUGGAUUUCAUUUACUAGAAAAUUUAUGUUUGAGAAACAUUUUAAUUCCCCAAGUCGUCAUCUUCCAAUGAACUAAUGAUCCUGCA